rnacentral:rRNA from 1 species
GACGAACGCUGGCGGCGUGCUUAACACAUGCAAGUCGAACGGAAAGGCCCUGCUCUUGUGGGGUGCUCGAUUGGCGAACGGGGGAGUAACACGUGAGUAACCUGCCCUUGACUUUGGGAUAACUUCAGGAAACUGGGGCUAAUACCGGAUAGGAGCUCCUGCUGCAUGGUGGGGGUUGGAAAGGUUCGGCGGUUGGGGAUGGACUCGCGGCUUAUCAGCUUGUUGGUGGGGUAGUGGCUUACCAAGGCUUUGACGGGUAGCCGGCCUGAGAGGGUGACCGGCGACAUUGGGCCUGCGAUACGGCGCAGACUCCUACGGGACGCAGCAGUGGGGAAUAUUGCACAAUGGGCGGAAGCCUGAUGCAGCAGCGCCGCGUGCGGGAUGACGGCCUUCGGGUUGUAAACCGCUUUCGCCUGUGACGAAGCGUGAGUGACGGUAAUGGGUAAAGAAGCACCGGCUAACUACGUG